GAAUUUUUCAUUUUUCUUUAUUUUCUCUUUCUUGUUGGCGUGUUCGGAUAGUUACUCCCUCUUUACCACGAACACCAGAGGAGAAACAAAUCUGAAUGGCGGUUUUGAAAAUUGGAAUGAGCUACAGGAAUCGGAGAAGGAAACGGAGAGGUUUUAUCUUAGACAAUUGCACCUUGUAUUAGUUCCUAUUUAUUUAAUACAGUAAGUGAAAUGGUUUCUUUUAUGUGAGAAACAACUACAGUAGUACCAUGAAAUUGGAUUCCUUGUUAUUGGCCAUAACAAAACAAUUUAGCUGUGAGACCAUGAAGACUAAUCAAUGGGUCUGUUAGCUUGUUUGCUCGGUGACUAGAUUAAAGAAAUGGUGGUGAUUGUGAUGGCUGUAUGGGCAGUGUUUCAGGUGCUAAUGGAGACUUCAAGGGUUCUGCAACCAGUGAUGAAGAAAUGGCGCUGUAUGUGACGCUGUGUAUACAUGAAAGAAGAGGAGUUUGUAUGGGUUGAGCUGUUGUCGAUGAUGGUGCUGUGAAGAAAAUACAAAUGAAAUUGGUGUUCAUUGUGGUCAGUCUCGACAGCAACGAGGUGAUGCCUAUGAUAGUUGAUAAUUGGAGGCAGUGGUGAAAUUGAUUAUUGGCAGUGAUUGGUUCUAUUGAAAUGAAUUGUUAUCAAAUGUAUACAGACGUUAGAGUUCGUCCACGACCAUGGUGCAGUCAGCGAAAACACGGAGCUGGUAAAUCUGCAAACGUCGGUGAAGAAGAAAGAUAGGAAAUGGGUUCGAGCAGUCGAUGAAGUUGAGAUACCUAAGAUGGCUGAUUUGAAUGAGUGGAAGAUGGUUGAAGUAGUUCUGUAUGUGGGGUUUCUUGGUUGGAAAUGAAUGGCAGAAUGGCAGAAUGGCUGAGAUGAUUGCAAGCGGAAGUGGAGAAUGGUCUAUAGAGAUGGUGCUGGUUGUGAAGAUGUGAUUCUAGGCUGAGCAGUGCAGGCAGCGGUUGAUGUUACAGGAAGUGGAGAUGUAUGUUUUUGGAGUAGGAUGGCGUGAACUGGGGUUUAUCAUUGGCUGUGCAAUCAUCCACUGGCGAAGAAGUAUUUUAGGGUGCUCUUUUGUGCUACUCCUUCAGGUGAAUACCACAUCUUUUGAAAUAUUAUUUGCAAUGCAGGCUGGUGAAAAACUUCUUCCAAGCUAUAGAGCUGAAAGGUCUUGAUUGUAUGUUGCGUGGAAGUUAGCAUUUUUUUGACAAUGUUAACUACAAAGACCCACUGUUGUAAGACUUCAUAUGUAUGAAAUGUUAUGUUUAAGAAUUUUCUUCUAA